CCCUAAGUUUUAUUCUCUCUUCUUUGGAUUUUGCUUCCAAGUUCCUAGCGGCUACUGCAUUACUAUUACUGCUGUUUCCCUUAGUUUCUCACAAAGGAAUUUGUUGAAAAAUUUGGAGGAGAAUCAGUAAUGUUAUUUCUACCCUUCAUUUUCUAUACUCAUUCUCUGCACCUUCCUUUUAUGUAUGAUAAAGGAAAAAAUAUAAAUUUUUCUAUUAUUUUGUCAUAAAAGUGAGGUGUAGAGUAAAGAUGUAGAAAAUAAACGGUAUAAAUAACAUUGAUGUUGAGAAUGUAUAUUUGGUCUUUUUAUCACAAAUAUCAUAAGUUAUGAUUACCACAAAUUAAAGCCACCUAUUGGGUUUGAAAAAUUAUAUAUAGGCUUCUCUCGAAGAAUUUGGGGUUUUUCUACCAAGCCACAAAGUUUAAGUGAUAUGAGAGUGUGUGGAUCUUAUCAAAUAACUUAAAGAAAAAUGGAAAAAUUAAACCUCCAAUAAUGUUCCUAGCAGCUGCAUGAUCUCACCAAUCAUAUUGAAGUUCACAUAUGGCACAGAAGAGGAGAUGCUAGCAUUAGCAAGAGGAAAAUGUAGACUGUAGAGUGAUCUAAUCUUUGGCUAGAAUAUAUGUCACUAUGUCACACUAUUAUAGAUUGUAGAUAGACUUAAUAUCAUUUUCAUCUAAAUACACUCUUGUGUGAGUACCUUUUGUUUAUGCUAUCUAGCUUCCAAAGCAUAUGUGGAAGAUAGUGUAUUAAAAUAUGUACUUCCAUUUUUUUUAAUUAAUUUCAACCUACUGUAUGGAUUUAUGUGCAAGAAUGUAACGGAUCCUCCUAAGUUGUGGCAAAAAUAGCGAAUAGAGAUGCAUCUAUAUGUAGAGCAAUAAUAUUAUUGCAAUAAAAUGUUUUGUCCCUUAGCUUUUCA